CGGGUAUCCCUACCUGAUCCGAGGUCAACCUGAAAAAAUUGGGGGUUAUGGCAAGUAACCACCUGGAUCUCCGAAGCGAGAAGAAUUACUACGCUUGAAGCCAAAUGGCACCGCCACUGAUUUUAAGACCUGCCAGAAACUGGCAAUGUCCAAUACCAAGCAAAGCUUGAGGGUUGUAAUGACGCUCGAACAGGCAUGCC
rnacentral:misc_RNA from 1 species